AUUCCUUUCUGGGUUCGAUGUUGGUGGUCAGCUGCAGUAGGUUCUGACUUAACCCUUGUAGAACUGAGUGCUUUGGCCGGAGGCUACCUUCAGCUCCUUCUUGCCUGGCCCUUUCCAUAUGGCAGCUCACAAUAUGGCAGAUUUCUUCUUCAAAGAAAGCAACAGAGAGAGAGACUCUUGGACUCAAAUGACAUGGAACUGAAGAUCUUGCCCAACCUUCUGAUUAUGAUUUGAUUUUCCUUGUACACUUUCCUGUAGAGAUAUAAAGAGCUAUCCAUACAGGCUUAAAUAUUUCAGUACUUACAUAUUAUAUUUCUCAAAAUAAAUUAACAAAAAUGGACAGUCUGGUCUUAUACGUCAGGCUUGUGAGUUUGUAAGUCUGCCCCAAGCAAUGAAUUUACAUUCAUGUGCCCUUAAUGUCAGAUUUCUGAACCUUGCAGGAGUAAAAUCAACAUAUCCACAUUCUAAUUCCUGAAUCUAUGUUACCUUAUAUGGCAAAAGGGACUUUUCACAUGCUACUAAUUUAAAGAUCUUGAGAUGGGAAGGUUUGCUUCUUCAAUUACCUAAGUGGUCCCAAUGUUAUGACAGGCAUCCUUAUAAGAUGGAGGCAGGUGAUUAGGAUUGGAGAAGGCAGUGUGACAACAAAAGCAAAGACUGGAGUGGUGUGGCCACCAUCCAAGGAAUGCUGACAGCCACCAGAAGCUGGAAGAGGAAAAGAAAGGAUUCCCCCCUUGGAGCCUUCAGAAAAAACCUAGCUGACACUUUGAUUUUUAGCUCCACUUCAGACUUCCAA